rnacentral:SRP_RNA from 1 species
GGGCAAGUCUUAGACAAGUCGCUCCCCUCGAAUUCCCCCAGGGCGGGAACGCAGCAAGGGUAGAGGGUUGAGCACUGUGAUUUAAGUAGCUUGCCCUUU